UACGUAGGGUGCGAGCGUUGUCCGGAAUUAUUGGGCGUAAAGAGCUUGUAGGCGGUUUGUCGCGUCUGCCGUGAAAUUUCGAGGCUCAACCUCGAACUUGCGGUGGGUACGGGCAGACUAGAGUGUGGUAGGGGAGACUGGAAUUCCUGGUGUAGCGGUGAAAUGCGCAGAUAUCAGGAGGAACACCCGUGGCGAAGGCGGCUCUCUGGGACGGUACUGACGCUGAGACGCGAAAGCGUGGGGAGCGAACAGG
rnacentral:rRNA from 1 species